GUUUUUGGCUGCAACUAUGUUGGACAGAGAUAUGUUUGCUAUGGCUGGAAAUUGGUACCAUGUCGGUUGGUUUUGCUUGGCAAGAUUUGUGACGAUGCGUCGGACAAACAACAUUGGAAUAAGAUACAGCCUUGAGCCUUGGCAAGUUAACACAUUAGUUAGGGUUAUGAAGUUUUUCAUGGCACCGACACAUUAUUGAGCAGUAGCGCAUCAGAUGACCAGUGUAUAUCUCUACUUGAGGAAUUCUCCAAAGAUCCAGAGCCGAUUGUUUCAUAGAGUUGUGAAGUUGCUCUAAACAUACUGGAUUUUGAACGAUCCGGCAAACCAUUCGAGGUACUUGGA